rnacentral:rRNA from 1 species
UACGUAGGGUGCAAGCGUUUGUCCGGAAUUAUUGGGCGUAAAGAGCUCGUAGGCGGUCUGUCGCGUCUGCUGUGAAAACUCAGGGCUUAACCCUGAGCUUGCAGUGGGUACGGGCAGACUAGAGUGCGGUAGGGGAGACUGGAAUUCCUGGUGUAGCGGUGGAAUGCGCAGAUAUCAGGAAGAACACCAACGGCGAAGGCAGCUCGCUGGGACGGUACUGACGACUGGAGACGCGAAAGCCGUGGGGAGCGAACAGG